rnacentral:misc_RNA from 1 species
AAGGGAACUAGUAGGAAG